UACCAGCACCCCGAGUGGUCGGGACGUUUAUUGGGCCUAAAGCAUCCGUAGCCGGUUCUACAAGUCUUCCGUUAAAUCCAACUGCUUAACAGGUGGGCUGCGGAAGAUACUAUAGAGCUAGGAGGCGGGAGAGGCAAGCGGUACUCGAUGGGUAGGGGUAAAAUCCGUUGAUCCAUUGAAGACCACCAGUGGCGAAAGGCGGCUUGCCAGAA
rnacentral:rRNA from 1 species